CCUACGGGAGGCAGCAGUGAGGAAUAUUGGUCAAUGGGCGGAAGCCUGAACCAGCCAAGCAGCGUGCAGGAUGACGGCCCUACGGGUUGUAAGUUGCUUUUAUACGGGAAUAACGUGCCUUACGUGUAGGGUUUUGCAUGUACCGUAUGAAUAAGGACCGGCUAAUUCCGUGACAGCAGCCGCGGUAAUACGGAAGGUCGGGGCGUUAACCGGAUUUAUUGGGUUUAAAGGGAGCGUAGGCCGGUUGUUAAGUGUGCUGUGAAAUUUCCGGGCCCAACCCUCGCCUUGCAGUGGAUACUGGCAAACUUGAGUCCGAUAAAGGCAGGCGGAAUUCGUUGUGUAGCGGUGAAAUGCUUAGAUAUGACGAAGAACACCGAUUGCGAAGGCAGCUUACU
rnacentral:rRNA from 1 species